CCCACCACUCUCCUGUCCCCAACCUCCCCCCACCUCCCCUGACCUCGCUCCCGAACGGCUCGCCCCACAUCUACCGCGUGCCAGCCGCCCUCGCUCCCGUUCAGUCCGUCUCCCCCCUCUCUCCAUCCAAAGCCUACGCGCCGCCGCCCCGCCACCGGGCGCGCCCUCGUUCUCCUACCUAGCCGUGUUCUCCAACUGCCCGCUCGUCGCCGCGGUGCUCACCUUCGCCAUCGCGCAAUCCAUCAAGGUCCUCACCACCUGGUAUAAGGAGAACCGGUGGGAUGCGAAGCAGCUGGUGGGCUCCGGUGGGAUGCCGUCCUCGCACUCGGCCACCGUCACAGCGCUCGCCGUCGCCGUCGGCCUGUAAGAGGGGCUCGCCAGCUCGCUGUUCGCCACCGCCGUCGUCUUUGUCUCCGUGGCACAAUAAGCCACUUCAGGCUUCAGUCUGUUCUGUGAUCAGCAGAACAUUAUGGGCUCUAAAACAGGAGGACUUUUGAGGUAUUUUGAUGCCAAAAUUUUUAGACAUACCAUCAUUGAAGUUGCUCUGAUCUGUACAACAUUUACAAGAUUUACAGAGCUUCAACUAAGUCAACUUGUUGAGUCGCUUGUUACAUAUCUUUUGCAUAUGGGAAAAAAUAAUAGAUAAGGUACUUGGAGUUGGCAAACAAUUGUUUGAUAUACCCUUUUCAUAUGCACUUGUUUUUUGGUUACCAACCUGCUAGCUAAUAACAAGUUUUCACUCAUCUCUACCAUUUUUUGGAAUGGCGGCGUCUCUUCGCUAUAUGUCAAUCAAAGAGGUAGUGUGAGACACAUAUUGGCAACUGACCAAAUGACUUCAGAUAUUUGGGGUCUCAUCGAUGUUCAAACAGAGAAUGCACAAAGUAGUCAGAAAUGGUAAUUAUAUUGUCAUUGUUGUUGCUGGUAGUGAUGUUACUUGUUCUACUAUCACGAAGGAGAAAUUUGAUCCAAUUGGUGGGCCUUUGCCUAAACUUUCACAAGCUAAUUCCAAGCAAUGUGUCUGAAAUCUUUUUCUUGUGUUGGUAACCACCAGAUGCUUGUCAAUUGUCAAACUUAUUUUGGUUGGCUUAUUUUCAAGAUUAAAUGAUCUCUGGUAACUGAGGAGAAUGUUGUAGAUGUUGAUUUUCCUUUUAGGAAGGUGAAGCUCUCCGAUGUGGUAGGGGGAAUGGAAAAUGUGCAUAUAUGCUUCUGAUUGCAGUGAGAUUAGCCUCGUCCAAGUUAUGGGAUCUGCCAUGAACUAGACAAGAUUAUAAGUUUACAGAGGCCUUACAUCAAGAGAGUACAAGAUUGCCAUAAGGAAGUAAAGUCUUUGAGAAAAGUGACCUUAUGAGAAGCUUGAGAAAAUCAACUUGUGUGUGAGAAGUUUUGUCUACUUGUGCUAAUUAGUCAUAUGAUAUUUUUAGUCAUGAACUAGACAAGAUCAGAAGUUUAAAGAGGUUUUACAUCGAGUACAAGAUCGCCAUAAGGAAGUACAAGUCUUUGAGGAAAGUGACCUUAUGAAAAGUUUGAGCAAAUCAACUUGUGUGCGAGAAGUUUUGUCUACUUGUGCUGAUCAGUCAUACCUUGGAAUAUUGCUGAAUUGUUGCCUUUGUUGCUCAUUGGCUUCAAUACUUCAUACACCAUCAAAUGAGUCAUGUGCAAAAUUCUUCGAAGCAUCAGUUCUUGCUCUAGAAGAACUUCAUCAGGUGAUUACUCUUUUGCUUUCCUUUAUUGAAUAAUUAGCACAUGUGCGUUCAAAAAAAUUGCCACAUGAAUGAAAUGAUAUAUUCUCGAAUUAUUCUAUUGAGUUUUUUUGUUUUGAUCACAACACCACCCUGGCGCGCUAGAGGCGGGGUCGAAUCAGCAACGACGGCUGACAUGACGCUACCCAUCCAGUUGCUCACUGCUCAGGUUAUAGCGAAGAACAUUGUCUUAGCUGGAUACAAGGAGAUGCAGAAGCUCUGAGUUUUGAGGAUGGAUCUAUGGAUGGUUACACUAUCGCAUUUGGGAUCAGAAAUGUGACACACAUUGAGAAAGCUCUAUCAGAAGCUUACAGUUGAUGGUUCUAAAGCAAGGGUGGAGGUUCCUAUGCUUGGAGUUGAGUCAUGUGGAUGUCCCUAUUUUUAAAUAGAUUUAUGAUGCUUACUCGUUUUCUAUGAUUCCGGCUAUUGGAGAGCUGGUUGAUGGUGAUCGGCAGAUAGAAGACAGGCAACAUGCUAACCAGGCCUGUGAACCUUAAACCUUGGCAGGAAAAGUUUGCUCAGAUGAUUCAGGAAGCCGGAUUCCAGAGGGUGGAAUAUGAAAACCUCCUGAGCGGUGUAGUUGCCAUUCAUUCUGGACUGAAACUGUAGAGCUGAAUACAGAUGGUUGUUUUUUCAUGGGUGCACCGAUUCUACAAUUAGUAGUAUUUGUUGUUUUUUAAUGAAUUCUAUAAUAGGUUCGGUGGCUUGUAAAAGCAGCUGGUGCUGGCUGUCAGCAUCAUCACAAUAUGUAGAAUAAGUAGUAUUUGCUAGAAGUAUGUGCUGGAGCAGUAGCGUCAGUGGCUAUUUUGGCUUUUAAGCCAGCUGACCUCUUCCAUUUGUAAAGCUUUUUCUUGGAAACGUGAAACCAUCCAGAACAUCAAAUUAGUCUUAUCACAUACCUCCUGCAAUA